rnacentral:rRNA from 1 species
GUGUCAGCAGCCGCGGUAAGACGUAGGAUGGUUUGCUCGAGAGGAAUUAUUGGGCGUAAAGAGUUCGUAGGCGGUUAUCUAAGUCUGGUGUUAAAGACGGGAGCUCAACUCCCGCAUGGCAUUGGAAACUGGGUGACUAGAGUGUGGUAGAGGUCUCGGGAAUUCCAGGUGUAGCGGUGAAAUGCGUAGAUAUCUGGAGGAACACCAGUGGCGAAAGCGCGAGACUGGGCCAUAACUGACGCUGAGGAACGAAAGCCAGGGUAGCAAAAGGGAUUAGAUACCCCUGUAGUCCUGGCCGUAAACGAUGGAUACUAGGUGUAGGAGGAUUCGACCCCUUCUGUGCCGUAGCUAACGCGAUAAGUAUCCCGCCUGGGGAGUACGCUCGCAAGAGUGAA